rnacentral:rRNA from 1 species
GACGAGGGGUUCUAGCGUUGUUCGGAAUCACUGGGCGUAAAGCGUAUGUAGGCGGCCUUUCAAGUCAGGUGUGAAAUCCCAUGGCUUAACCAUGGAACUGCAUUUGAAACUGUAAGGCUUGAGUAUUGGAGAGGAUGGUAGAAUUCCUGGUGUAGUGGUGAAAUACGUAGAUAUCAGGAGGAAUACCGGUGGCGAAGGCGGCCAUCUGGCCAAAUACUGACGCUGAGAUACGAAAGUGUGGGGAUCAAACAGG